GAUGAAGAACGCAGCGAAGUGCGAUAAGUAAUGUGAAUUGCAGAAUUCAGUGAAUCAUCGAAUCUUUGAACGCACAUUGCGCCCCUUGGUAUUCCGAGGGGCAUGCCUGUUCGAGCGUCAUUAUAACCCCUCAAGCUCAGCUUGGUGUUGGGGCCUGCUGCACUGGCAGCCCUUAAAAUCAGUGGCGGCGCCAUCUGGCUCUAAGCGUAGUAAUUCUUCUCGCUAUGGAGUCCUGGUGGAUGCUUGCCAUCAACCCCCAAUUUUUCUAUGGUUGACCUCGGAUCAGGUAGGGAUACCCGCUGAACUUAAGCAUAUCAAUAAGCGGAGGA
rnacentral:misc_RNA from 1 species